rnacentral:rRNA from 1 species
UUUACCGUAGCGGAUAUCUUCCAGCACUCACCCUUUGGCGACGUGUUGAACUCGUUAAAGUCUCUCUCCUUGUCAGGAGACUCUUGGCCGAACUAUGCCCGGCUCGAGCGGGAAGCGGGCGAUGAAGGAAUUCGUUGCCCACCCACCACCCACUUCAUUGCCACGGUCGAUGACUUAACCGACGUGCUCGACUUCGACUCCGAAGACAUCGACGGUAUGGACAAUGAUGUAGGAGAAGAACAGGAACCACCGCCCACGGGGCGGUGGACAGCCACCACCUCAUAUGAUAUAUAUAUGGUGGACACUCCGAAAGAAACCAAUGGCGAUGAGGCAAUGGAGGAUAACCCCUCAGGGAAGAAAGCAAAGCAUAGGCGUUGUCAACGCCACUCCGAGCCCAGCCACAACAAUACCGGCAUAGGAGAUGAAAACAAUCCGGAUGGUGCCAACUAUGAAUACAAC